GGUGGCUUAGACGGUAAAAAGCAUCUGCCUACAAUGCAGGAGACCCAGGUUCAAUCCCUGAGUC
rnacentral:tRNA from 1 species